rnacentral:rRNA from 1 species
GAAGUGUGGACGCCAGUCUGCAUGGAGCCGACCUUGAAAUACCACCCUUUAAUGUUUGAUGUUCUAACGUUGACCCGUAAUCCGGGUUGCGGACAGUGUCUGGUGGGUAGUUUGACUGGGGCGGUCUCCUCCUAAAGAGUAACGGAGGAGCACGAAGGUUGGCUAAUCCUGGUCGGACAUCAGGAGGUUAGUGCAAUGGCAUAAGCCAGCUUGACUGCGAGCGUGACGGCGCGAGCAGGUGCGAAAGCAGGUCAUAGUGAUCCGGUGGUUCUGAAUGGAAGGGCCAUCGCUCAACGGAUAAAAGGUACUCCGGGGAUAACAGGCUGAUACCGCCCAAGAGUUCAUAUCGACGGCGGUGUUUGGCACCUCGAUGUCGGCUCAUCACAUCCUGGGGCUGAAGUAGGUCCCAAGGGUAUGGCUGUUCGCCAUUUAAAGUGGUACGCGAGCUGGGUUUAGAACGUCGUGAGACAGUUCGGUCCCUAUCUGCCGUGGGCGCUGGAGAACUGAGGGGGGCUGCUCCUAGUACGAGAGGACCGGAGUGGACGCAUCACUGGUGUUCGGGUUGUCAUGCCAAUGGCACUGCCCGGUAGCUAAAUGCGGAAGAGAUAAGUGCUGAAAGCAUCUAAGCACGAAACUUGCCCCGAGAUGAGUUCUCCCUGACCCUUUAAGGGUCCUGAAGGAACGUUGAAGACGACGACGUUGAUAGGCCGGGUGUGUAAGCGCAGCGAUGCGUUGAGCUAACCGGUACUAAUGAACCGUGAGG